GCCAGCAGCCAUAUCACCCUGCAGCUCUCAACUGGCAGCCCGCUGAAGUUAAGCAGGGUUGAGCCUGGUCAGUACCUGAAUGGGAUACCUCCUGGAAAUGUUUGCUGUUGGAA
rnacentral:rRNA from 1 species